rnacentral:rRNA from 1 species
UAGGGAAUCUUCCACAAUGGACGCAAGUCUGAUGGAGCAACGCCGCGUGAGUGAAGAAGGUUUUCGGACCGUAAAGCUCUGUUGUUGGUGAAGAAGGAUAGAGGUAGUAACUGGCCUUUAUUUGACGGUAAUCAACCAGAAAGUCACGGCUAACUACGUGCCAGCAGCCGCGGUAAUACGUAGGUGGCAAGCGUUGUCCGGAUUUAUUGGGCGUAAAGCGAGCGCAGGCGGAAGAAUAAGUCUGAUGUGAAAGCCCUCGGCUUAAUCGAGGAAUUGCAUCGGAAACUGUUUUUCUUGAGUGCAGAAGAGGAGAGUAGAACUCCAUGUGUAGCGGUGGAAUGCGUAGAUAUAUGGAAGAAUACCAGUGGCGAAGGCGGCUCUCUGGUCUGCAACUGACGCUGAGGCUCGAAAGCAUGGGUAGCGAACAGGAUUAGAUACCCUGGUAGUCCAUGCCGUAAACGAUGAGUGCUAAGUGUUGGGAGGCUUCCGCCUCUCAGUGCUGCAGCUAACGCAUUAAGCACUCCGCCUGGGGGAGUACGACCGCAAGGUUGAA